GAUGAACGCUAGCGGCAGGCUUAACACAUGCAAGUCGAGGGGUAGAGGAAGCUUGCUUCCUUGAGACCGGCGCACGGGUGCGUAACGCGUAUACAAUCUACCUUUUACAGGAGGGAUAGCCCCAGAGAAAUUUGGAUUAACUACCUCAUAGUAUUUUCGGAUCGCAUGAUUUGAUUAUUAAAGUUCCAACGGUAAAAGAUGAGUAUGCGUCCCAUUAGCUAGAUGGUAAGGUAACGGCUUACCAUGGCAAUGAUGGGUAGGGGUCCUGAGAGGGAGAUCCCCCACACUGGUACUGAGACACGGACCAGACUCCUACGGGAGGCAGC
rnacentral:rRNA from 1 species